UACAGAGGGGGCAAGCGUUGUUCGGAAUUACUGGGCGUAAAGGGCGCGUAGGCGGCCUGUUAAGUCGAACGUGAAGUCCCCGGGCUCAACCCGGGAACUGCGUCCGAUACUGGCAGGCUUGAAUCCGGGAGAGGGAUGCGGAAUUCCAGGUGUAGCGGUGAAAUGCGUAGAUAUCUGGAGGAACACCAGUGGCGAAAGCGGCCACCUGGACUGCACCUGACGCUGACACGCGAAAGCUAGGGGAGCGAACGGG
rnacentral:rRNA from 1 species